AGUAUUCAAUUCCCAUCAAAAAUAUUAAUCCGUCUAAAUAUUAUUGUUAUACAUUUCUUAAUAGUUAAUACUAGGAUGUGAUAAGAGAUUAAUUGAUUUGAAAAAUCGAAUAAACUCUUUAAAACAAAUCACGCUAAUGCAUAUUAAAAGUGCGUUUAUGAAGGUUUAACUAAAUGCUAAUCUGUGGCAUAGCAUGCGGGACCCGUUUCGUCAAAACCUACCUUUCCCGUUUUGCUCAAAAACGCUAGUUAUUUUAAAUUUAAGUUGACAUAAUUUUUGAAUAGUUGAAACACAUGGAAAAUUAUUUAAAACUGUUUAUGAUACAUAAAUGUGUAGCGUUGAAACUUGAAAUUCCCGAAAAAUCGAAGUAGACAAGAACAUGGGCGCCGGGACAUGAGUACAUAAGCAUGAUAAAAAUAUGUUACAAUACGUAAAUAAGUAAUAUUAUAUUAUUUUGAAGGUUUUGAUUAUUAACCCACUAUGCGUGGCCGGGUGAGCUAAACAUACCUAAACAACGACAGGCAAUCUUAAAAAAAUAAUGAUUUGUAUUUUGUGAUGGCUUUU